rnacentral:rRNA from 1 species
CCUACGGGGAGCAGCAGUGAGGAAUAUUGGUCAAUGGGCGGAAGCCUGAACCAGCCAAGUCGCGUGAGGGAUGAAGGUACUAUGGAUCGUAAACCUCUUUUAUAAGGGAAUAAAGUGUGGGACGUGUCCCGUUUUGUAUGUACCUUAUGAAUAAGGAUCGGCUAACUCCGUGCCAGCAGCCGCGGUAAUACGGAGGAUACGAGCGUUAUCCGGAUUUAUUGGGUUGAAAGGGUGCGUAGGCGGCCUGUUAAGUCAGCGGGGAAAGUCUGUGGCCCAACCAGAGGAUUGCCGUUGAAACUGGGAGGUUUGAGUUUGUUUGAGGCAGGCGGAAUGCGGGGUGUCGCGGUGAAAUGCUUAGAUAUCACGCAGAACCCCGAUUGCGAAGGCAGCCUGCCAAGCCAUGACUGACGCUGAUGCACGAAAGCGUGGGUAUCAAACAGGAUUAGAUACCCCAGUAGUC